AAAUAUAUAAUUCCAAUCUAGCUUUUCAAUGCCACCAGUGCCUACUCUUAGGGCUGUGACGGCUGUGAUGGCUAUGGGAGCUGCUGUAGGGUCAGAGAGGGCUACAGGGUCUCUGAGAACUAUAGGGUCUGUGAGGAGCAGUGAGGGCUAUGGAGUGUUUGAGUGCUACGAGGGCUGUGAGGUCUAUGAGGUCUCAGGGGGUUUUGAAUGCUGUAAGGGCUAUGGGGGCUUGGAAGGCUGUGGGGUCUGUGAGGGCUAUGGGUGCUCUGAGGGCAAUGAGGGCUAUAGGGGCAGUAAGGGCAAUGGUUGUUAUGGGGUCUGUGAGGGCUAUGGGUGCUAUGAGGGCAAUGAGGGCUAUAGGGGCAGUAAGGGCAAUGGUUGUUAUGGGGGCUGUAAGGGCUAUCGGAGCUGUGAGGGCUGUGGAGUUUGUGAGGCAUGUGGCAUCUGUGAGGGCUACAGUUCUGCUCUUUUUCCGUUUUUUAGUCACCUCCUUUUCCUUUUUUUUUUUUGUUUUGGUUUUUUUUUAUGGUUUGAUUUUUGCUUUUUGGGGUGGUUUUUUUCCUGUGGUUGGCAUUCCCUCUUCUCUGGCCUCUCUUCUCUUACUUUUUCCUUGUUUUUCAUUUUCCUGCAGGGAGCCUGCAAACCUUUCCAACAGUGGGCUUAUACAGCUAAAGCCAGCAUCAGUUGGAAUCAGCUCUUG
rnacentral:lncRNA from 12 species